GCAAACUCGCGGCCGUCAGACUGCCGAAGGCGAGCCGUGGCUCGGGAAAUACAUCGCCGUUCUGAUCCGUGGAUCGGGAAAAGUGCUGUUCCGUUUGUCCGCAGGGCCGCGGCAGUAACUGCGAGGCGUAGUGGUUGGGCCGCUGAGCCUAUGCAGCCGAUCUAUGUCGCCGCUGCCUGGAUUCCCCGCCGCCUUUGGAAGGACCAUCUGAAUCGUCGGAGAUGUAGCUCUUGAUGCAGCCAACAAGAAGAUUGACAGUGAAAUCCCUAUGCAGCCGCUGCACCAUCCAGUGGCAGGUCAAGAAGGGGGGCGCGGUGGGAUGCAGGUGGAUAAGUGUUCCGCAGGCGGACAGAUAUGUGCUCGAGAAGCUGUGGCGACGGUGGAACGAGAAGGUUCACCCCAUGCCUCAGAGUUCUCCACCGGGAAGAUGAACCCGCAAGUUCCAGGCUGGACUAAAAGGUAAUCAAUCACGACGACAUUGUCUAGAAAACAAUUAUUCCAUCAGCUAGAGCAUUCUAAAAAAAAAACAGGCUGGCUGAAAGUUCCAGGCUGGUGGAUUCAUUUGAAAGUUUGCUUCAUGGCAUCCGGUAGAGCUGAAGCCAUGGGAUCUAGAAUUUUUUUCUGUCCAAUAGACAUAAUGAUUACAUCAGCGAGGUCGUUGUAAAACUGUUAGGUUACUUGUGUGGAAUUUAUUUGGAAGAUUGCUUCAUCUAAACCGGCAGGGCCACACACAUGUUCUGUAGAAUCUUUUGGUAUCCAGUAAAAAAUGUUAAUUCAGCAGCCAGAGCAUUGCAAAAAUUGGUUGACUAGUUGUAUGACGCUAACAGUAUGCAGUUACAGUUAUAUGCAUAUACGAUGACCAGAAUGUCGCCCUUGGAUAAAUAACAUAACAUGUAUAUUCCGGACAUGGAUGUGCCUUUCAUCAAUUUGACGACAUCCGUGCCUAUCACGUACACAGAGCCACUGGGAACUUAUUCAGGUGCAUACAAAACCCAGUGUACUGUUUACUACAGACAGAGAGCGUAUUCUUUAAAACAGGAGAACUGGUGCACCAGAUGCACCUGCUCCUUAGUAGCGUUUGGAUGUGAAAAGAAGAAACAGGAUACAGCUAGGAUGUCGGCCGAUGGAACAUUUGCAGAACGAAUCUCAUUGCGCAACUGAUUGUGCGAAUCAUCCUUCUGGACUAGAACUGUUUCUAACCCUGAUGAACCAUCUCUGCCCCGUUCAAUCAGAUGCACUAACCUCCAGCAGCAACUAGUAGGAACUGCAACUGAUUGACAUGUACGAUACAUGCUAGUGGAGUGCCUGAGGGUUCUCCUGGGAGAAGGAACUGUGCUGCAAGUCGGGAGGCGCACCAUCCCGUCCGCGCUCAAUGCAUCCGGCAGGAUGGUGAGGGAACUAAGCAGCAAUGGAUAUGUCUUUCCAGGCAUUAAAAGUAAAUUCACAUCAAUCUCAAAACUGACAAUUUGCUGUGAUUACCUAAAGAACAAUAAUUAACAUUUCAUUGUAAUGGAAAAUAGUAAGGGAAGCAGGGGAGAGUUCCUCCAGAGCAGUCCUUGAUAAUGAACUUGCACGGAGAGGAAUAGAAACGCAUUCAACCGGUGAUGGACCAAAAGCCUAAAUCGAGGCUGGAUCAAGAUACAAGGGAAGACGGUCAGAGUUCAUAGAAAAUCGUUAGCAGACCAGAAACAAUGUGGAUAGCUCUGACAUGUGGUGCCUGCAGGUUGUGAUGCAGCGGAUGACUUGAGUUAUCAAGUAAGGGAUCGUCGUAGGGGCGCUUGUAGUCCCGCGCUGUCUAAUGGGGCGGUCAUGCUCGUGUUAAUUAAAUUAGGAUCACUAUUUUGAGACAGGUGUGACAUGUUAGCUUUCAUCCUGGUUGUUUGAUCGUGAGUGAAAAACUUGUGAGUUGAUCAUGAGGUG